rnacentral:snRNA from 1 species
GUACUCUCUUUGGCAGCACACAUACAGAAAUUGGAACUAUGCUGAGAAGAUUAGCAUGGCCCCUG